rnacentral:rRNA from 1 species
UACGUAGGGUGCGAGCGUUAAUCGGAAUUACUGGGCGUAAAGGGCGCGUAGGCGGCCUGCUAAGUCGAACGUGAAAUCCCCGGGCUCAACCCGGGAACUGCGUCCGAUACUGGCAGGCUUGAAUCCGGGAGAGGGAUGCGGAAUUCCAGGUGUAGCGGUGAAAUGCGUAGAUAUCUGGAGGAACACCGGUGGCGAAGGCGGCUCUCUGGACCGAUACUGACGCUGAGGCGCGAAGGCCAGGGGAGCAAACGGG